UCUAAGUACCCCGAGGAAAAGAAAUCAACCGAGAUUCCCCCAGUAGCGGCGAGCGAACGGGGAGCAGCCCAGAGCCUGAAUCAGUGUGUGUGUUAGUGGAAGCGUCUGGAAAGGCGCGUGAUACAGGGUGACAGCCCCGUACACAAAAAUGCACAUGCUGUGAGCUCGAUGAGUAGGGCGGGACACGUGGUAUCCUGUCUGAAUAUGGGGGGACCAUCCUCCAAGGCUAAAUACUCCUGACUGACCGAUAGUGAACCAGUACCGUGAGGGAAAGGCGAAAAGAACCCCGGCGAGGGGAGUGAAAAAGAACCUGAAACCGUGUACGUACAAGCAGUGGGAGCACGCUUAGGCGUGUGACUGCGUACCUUUUGUAUAAUGGGUCAGCGACUUAUAUUCUGUAGCAAGGUUAACCGAAUAGGGGAGCCGAAGGGAAACCGAGUCUUAACUGGGCGUUAAGUUGCAGGGUAUAGACCCGAAACCCGGUGAUCUAGCCAUGGGCAGGUUGAAGGUUGGGUAACACUAACUGGAGGACCGAACCGACUAAUGUUGAAAAAUUAGCGGAUGACUUGUGGCUGGGGGUGAAAGGCCAAUCAAACCGGGAGAUAGCUGGUUCUCCCCGAAAGCUAUUUAGGUAGCGCCUCGUGAAUUCAUCUCCGGGGGUAGAGCACUGUUUCGGCAAGGGGGUCAUCCCGACUUACCAACCCGAUGCAAACUGCGAAUACCGGAGAAUGUUAUCACGGGAGACACACGGCGGGUGCUAACGUCCGUCGUGAAGAGGGAAACAACCCAGACCGCCAGCUAAGGUCCCAAAGUCAUGGUUAAGUGGGAAACGAUGUGGGAAGGCCCAGACAGCCAGGAUGUUGGCUUAGAAGCAGCCAUCAUUUAAAGAAAGCGUAAUAGCUCACUGGUCGAGUCGGCCUGCGCGGAAGAUGUAACGGGGCUAAACCAUGCACCGAAGCUGCGGCAGCGACGCUUAUGCGUUGUUGGGUAGGGGAGCGUUCUGUAAGCCUGUGAAGGUGUACUGUGAGGUAUGCUGGAGGUAUCAGAAGUGCGAAUGCUGACAUAAGUAACGAUAAAGCGGGUGAAAAGCCCGCUCGCCGGAAGACCAAGGGUUCCUGUCCAACGUUAAUCGGGGCAGGGUGAGUCGACCCCUAAGGCGAGGCCGAAAGGCGUAGUCGAUGGGAAACAGGUUAAUAUUCCUGUACUUGGUGUUACUGCGAAGGGGGGACGGAGAAGGCUAUGUUGGCCGGGCGACGGUUGUCCCGGUUUAAGCGUGUAGGCUGGUUUUCCAGGCAAAUCCGGAAAAUCAAGGCUGAGGCGUGAUGACGAGGCACUACGGUGCUGAAGCAACAAAUGCCCUGCUUCCAGGAAAAGCCUCUAAGCAUCAGGUAACAUCAAAUCGUACCCCAAACCGACACAGGUGGUCAGGUAGAGAAUACCAAGGCGCUUGAGAGAACUCGGGUGAAGGAACUAGGCAAAAUGGUGCCGUAACUUCGGGAGAAGGCACGCUGAUAUGUAGGUGAAGUCCCUCGCGGAUGGAGCUGAAAUCAGUCGAAGAUACCAGCUGGCUGCAACUGUUUAUUAAAAACACAGCACUGUGCAAACACGAAAGUGGACGUAUACGGUGUGACGCCUGCCCGGUGC
rnacentral:rRNA from 1 species